GAGUUUGAUCAUGGCUCAGGACGAACGCUGGCGGCACGCCUAACACAUGCAAGUCGAACGGAGAUAUUUUGGUUUACUGAGAUAUCUUAGUGGCGGACGGGUGAGUAACACGUGAGCAACCUGCCUCUGAGAGAGGGAUAGCUUCUGGAAACGGAUGGUAAUACCUCAUAACAUAACGAAGCCGCAUGACUUUGUUAUCAAAGAUUUAUCACUCAGAGAUGGGCUCGCGUCUGAUUAGAUAGUUGGUGAGGUAACGGCUCACCAAGUCGACGAUCAGUAKCCGGACUGAGAGGUUGAACGGCCACAUUGGGACUGAGACACGGCCCAGACUCCUACGGGAGGCAGCAGUGGGGAAUAUUGCACAAUGGGGGAAACCCUGAUGCAKCGAUGCCSCGUGKAGGAAGAAGGUUUUCGGAUUGUWAACUCCUGUCUUAAAGGACGAUAAUGACGGUACUUUAGGAGGAWGCUCCGGCUAACUACGUGCCMKCAGCCGCGGU
rnacentral:rRNA from 1 species